rnacentral:lncRNA from 1 species
CUCUUCCGCCUCCUGCCUGGUUCGCCGCUCCCCUCCGCGACGACACGCCCCCAGCCCACUCCGCCGCGGGACGCCUCAUCCCGCGGGUAGGCUGGCUCUCUCCUUACUUCGUCCUUGCUAUUUUCGUUCAACUUAAUCGCAGCAAAACAAUGCGUCUGGAUUUACAUUCUGAUUUUAUGUUAUUAUUUUGACAUACGAAAGGGGGAAACACACAGGAGGUUUAAGUAACUCACCAGCGAUGUGGAAAGGGCAGCUCAGAGGUCCAUGGACAGUACCGUAUCCCUGUCUGCGUCUCAGUCGGCCUAAACUAGCCCACUCAUUUUAUAGAUAAGGAAAUAGCCAGAGAAGCAAGGGAGUGACCACACGGCUAGGGCUGCAAACCCCUGAGCACCAAGACUGUCUCUGAACUCCUGGCCCAGUCGUGUGCUUUUUUGGCUAUGAAGUUUUGUUCACUGAAAGCUCCUAGGAGCUUUUCAGUUCUAAUGCCCUCUGAUUCUAUUUGCUCUCGCUCCAGCAGAGGCCUCUUUUCUAGCCGCAUUUCUGUGAGUUACCUGCUUUUGUUAUCCGUAUCAUUUUCCGUGUGUGAAUUUUCUCCCGCGUUCUGUUAUUUCUAAAAUCACUUUUGCUUGUUGUAUAUGUUGCCUUCCUAUAUUGGACAUUCAGUUUGAAUCGUAACUCCACAGAAGCAAAUGUGUCCCAUUCGAAUUCAUCAUAGUCUUCUGUUGCCGUAAAACCCUGACAAACCUUGCAAUAGCACCAGAAAGGAUAUGUAAAUUAGAUCGCAUUAAAUGUUGAAGCACAUUCUAAAUACAGAACAUUCAAAAUUAUCUUUCAUAUACUUUCAUCUUUACUUCCAGUUAUUUCAGAAGACAUUAGCUUUGAUAACAUAGGUUCUCAAUAUUUACAGACUGAUUUGUUUCCUGUGUAUUGACAUUUUUGAACUUGGUCUUGUGCUGGGUAUUAUACUUGAUCAUAGAAUUUCAGAAGAACCUUAAUAGGCCAUUUAGUCCCAGUCUCCUUAUUUUAUGGAUGAAGAAAACGGUGUGAAUAAUCAACAUAAGUUAUCACUUGCGUUACUGGUAGCAACCUUCUGGUAGUAGAAAUAACUGUGUCCCUUAAGAAAUGUAAACAUAGCAGUGAAUUUUAUAAGCACAAUUUGUCAGAGAUGUCACUCUUUGUUUAAAUCACAUUCCUAUUUAUAUGUAAUACAUUUUUAAUUACCACUAAUUUUCAGUUAAUGAAAUCAGAAAAACAGUAUGCUUAAUAAAAACCAUAAUUGAAAGACUUUUUUUUUUGCCCUGAGAGGGACGGAGUUUCGCUCUUGUUGCUCAGGCUGCAGUACAGUGGCGCGAUCUCGGCUCACUGCAACCUCCGCCUCCCGGGUUCAAGCAAUUCUCCUGCCUCAGCCUCCCAAGUAGCUGGGAUUACAGGAGCCAGCCACCACGCCUGGCUAAUUUUUGUAUUUUUAGUAGAGAGGAGGUUUCGCCGUGUUGGUCAGGCUGGUCUCAAAGGACAUUUUCACAGGUAUUUUUACUUUGUUAUUUUUAAUUAUUUCUUGAAUUUUUAGACCUUAUUUUCCCCAGGAAGGUAUUUGUUCUGGAAUUUUAGCUUGCUUCAUUCAUUUUAAUAAUGAUCCUUUAAUUUUUAGACCAAGUUUUUCCCACCAAGAUAAAUAGAUACCCUCUUAGUAUUUAAUUGAAUUUCUGGGUUUUGGGGGAGUAGGGUUUGGGUUUUUUGUUUGUUUGUUUUUUGAGACAGAGUCUCGCUCUGUCACCUAGGGUGUAGUGCAGUGGCAUGAUCUCGGGUCACUGCAACCUCCACCUCCCAGAUUCAAGCAAUUCUCCUGCCUCAGCCUCCCCAGUGGCUAGGAUUACAGGCGCACACCACCACACUGGGCUAAUUUUUAUAUCUUUAGUAGAGACGGGGUUUCUCCAUGUUGGCCAGGCUGGUCUCCAACUCCUGACCUCAGGUGAUCUGCCUGCCUCAGCCUCCCAAAGUGCUGGGAUUACAAGCAUGAGAGACCGCACCCGGCUUUAAUUGAAUUUCUUAAAGUUAGCCUCUUAUUUGUAUGGCAGUGGACUAUGGCUAGAAGAGAUAUGGAUUCACUUCCUUUAAGUGAAAUCUUUCUGCCAGAUGGAUUUCAGAAUUCAGAAUUUUUCAGACUUUAGAGAGGUGUGCUUUAUGUGACAUUCCUCACUAUCUGGGGCAGCACCCACAGUCAACUUUUUUUUCCGGAACAAUUAUGAAUAUCACACUAAGAUAAAUGAAAUGUAUAGUCUCACUCAAGUCAAGUUUUUCAGGUCAGGUUCUGCCACUUUGCCCUUGGGUUCAGGUCAAGUUUUAAUGACAAAUGAGUCAGGUCAAACAGGUUUUGCCACCAAAUGUUGAGAAAACAUUUGAUUUUCAGAGCUUUUUCUUUUUUUUUUUUUUUUUGAGACGGGGUCUCUGCCCUCUUCCCUGUCACCCAGGCUGGAGAGCAGUGGCAAGAUUUCGGCUCACUGCAACCUCUGCCUCCCAGGUUCGAGUGAUUCUCCUUCUGGGAUUACAGGCAUGAGCCACCGCACCUGGCCAAUUUUCAGAGCUUUUUAGAUUUCGAAGUGGUGAAUAUUGAGAGAAUUAUUGGAAAGUAAAUCAGUGAGUAACCCAUGAUUUUUCUGGAGCAACUACAGUGUCAAGUAGUUUCUAGGCAGUUGUCCUGUGUUUGAUUGGGAAAAUAUGCUGACUAUAUUUAAAAGGCACUGUUCUUUCAUUAGAGGAACUUAUGAUAGCAAAGGGAAGAAAAGAAAUGAGCCCAUGAAAAUGUAGGUAACUAAAGUGUAAAUGAAUAGGAAGACAGAUAUUCAGAGAUGGGAGAAAGUACAGGCUUAUGUUAGCAGUACACUUUUCAUGGGGGAGGCAGGCCUAGACUGUCAAAGUGAGGUAUGAUUUCGAUGAGGAGAUGGAGGAGGAGGACUUUCCAGUCAGGAUUUAAGAGCUUGGGCAAGGGAAUCAGGCAAGAAGAAAAUUGUUAACCAAAAAUAAUAAUUUCCUCCAAAGUUCAUUCAUUCACCAUUGUGUCAUGUCGCUUCUUAAUAAGAGCAUUUUGUUCAUUUACUAUGUGCUCUGGGAAAAACAAGGAAUCAAGCAUGGUUUCUUCCCUGAAACUGCUUAAAAUCAGGUCAAGAUGUUACCGGAUGGUAUAGAUAACUGUCAAAUUUGAAGGAAAU